UUUUAUGGAGAGUUUGAUCCUGGCUCAGGAUGAACGCUGGCGGCGUGCCUAAUACAUGCAAGUCGAGCGAACGGACGAGAAGCUUGCUUCUCUGAUGUUAGCGGCGGACGGGUGAGUAACACGUGGAUAACCUACCUAUAAGACUGGGAUAACUUCGGGAAACCGGAGCUAAUACCGGAUGAUAUUUUGAACCGCAUGGUUCAAAAGUGAAAGACGGUCUUGCUGUCACUUAUAGAUGGAUCCGCGCUGCAUUAGCUAGUUGGUAAGGUAACGGCUU
rnacentral:rRNA from 1 species